rnacentral:rRNA from 1 species
AGAGUUUGAUCCUGGCUCAGAACGAACGCUGGCGGCAGGCUUAACACAUGCAAGUCGAACGCCGUAGCAAUACGGAGUGGCAGACGGGUGAGUAACACGUGGGAACAUGCCCUUCGGUUCGGAAUAACUCAGGGAAACUUGAGCUAAUACCGGAUACGUCCAAGGCAACUUGGAGAAAGAUUUAUUGCCGGAGGAUUGGCCCGCGUCUGAUUAGCUAGUUGGUGGGGUAAUGGCCCACCAAGGCGACGAUCAGUAGCUGGUCUGAGAGGAUGAUCAGCCACAUUGGGACUGAGACACGGCCCAAACUCCUACGGGAGGCAGCAGUGGGGAAUAUUGGACAAUGGGCGCAAGCCUGAUCCAGCCAUGCCGCGUGAGUGAUGAAGGCCUUAGGGUUGUAAAGCUCUUUUGCCUGGGGAGAUAAUGACGGUACCAGGAGAAUAAGCCCCGGCUAACUUCGUGCCAGCAGCCGCGGUAAUACGAAGGGGGCUAGCGUUGUUCGGAAUCACUGGGCGUAAAGCGCACGUAGGCGGAUUCUUAAGUCAGGGGUGAAAUCCCGAGGCUCAACCUCGGAACCGCCUUUGAUACUGGGGAUCUCGAGUCCGGGAGAGGUGAGUGGAAUUGCGAGUGUAGAGGUGAAAUUCGUAGAUAUUCGCAAGAACACCAGUGGCGAAGGCGGCUCACUGGCCCGGAACUGACGCUGAGGUGCGAAAGCGUGGGGAGCAAACAGGAUUAGAUACCCCGGUAGUCC